rnacentral:rRNA from 1 species
UACGUAGGGGGCUAGCGUUAUCCGGAAUUACUGGGCGUAAAGGGUGCGUAGGUGGUUUCUUAAGUCAGAGGUGAAAGGCUACGGCUCAACUGUAGUAAGCCUUUGAAACUGGGAAACUUGAGUGCAGGAGAGGAGAGUGGAAUUCCUAGUGUAGCGGUGAAAUGCGUAGAUAUUAGGAGGAACACCAGUUGCGAAGGCGGCUCUCUGGACUGUAACUGACACUGAGGCACGAAAGCGUGGGGAGCAAACAGG